rnacentral:lncRNA from 1 species
AAAAACACACUAAUCCUAUAAUAAAUUUUAAACAAAUCUUAAAUAUUCCAAACAUAAAUAUAGAUCAUAAACCCUAUUAUUAUUUUAUUUCAAAUAUAAAUCUAAACUAUAUUUAAAUAUAAAAUCUUCCAAAAAAAAUUUAGACAUUAUUCCCAAUACCUUUCUAUAUUCCAAAACACAAAAGUCCAUACAUGUGAUGCUCAUUUAGAUCAAGGGUACACAAAACAAUUUUUAAGUAAAUCAUGACUAUUAUAGUGGUUGUCUUGAUGACACCACGAUAAGUAAAUCAUGUUGUAGUGUAGUGGCUUCACUCUUAGUAAGUGACCUAAUUCAUAAAAGGAAAUACCAUUGUUUAUUUCGUUUCCUUAAUAAAAAAUCUUGAAUAGUUAUGCAUGAAUUGAAUACCACAAAACUUAUUUUAAUUUUAUGAAAAUUUUGAUUGAAUACUACAAAAAAAUUUCAUAAAAAAAAUCUAUUAAAAUCCUUAAAAAUUUCAAUCCAAUUAAUCCCCUAAAACUCAUAAGUCACUCAAAAUACUUUGUGUAUGUAACGUAUAGCCUAAACUCUAUAGAAAGACUACAUGAUGCUUUUUCCUUUAAUUUUUACAUUUUUUUUCCUUCUUUACCUCUUUGGAUGUUGAUUGAUGAUAAAGGAUUUCAUGCGUGGAUCCUACUCACUCUCCUUUUAUUUCUCAUCAAAUCACACAACCUUAUCCCCUCACUAGUCACAUACCUUUCCUUUUGAUAGGGAUUUUUGUGUUUUUUAUAUUGCGGAAUUUGGUGGGAUAUAAUUUUAGGGAGAAAACUCUCAUUAAAUAUAGGAUUAUAUGAAUAAUACUAAAGUUCUUGUUUUAUUCAUCAUGCUUAUGACUCUAUAUAUAGAGCUACAUAAAAAACACAUUAUUUUAUUUUAAAUAUAAAUCUAAACUAUAUUUAAAUAUAAAAUCUUUCAAAAAAAAAAAUUUAGACAUUAUUCCCAACACCUUUCCAUAUUCCAAAACAUAAAAGUCCAUACAUGUGAUGCUCAUUUAGAUCAAGGGUACACAAAACAAUUUUUAAGGCUUUGAUGGGCUCUACCAUAUAUAAUAUCUCAAACUAUGAUUUUGUGCCAUAAGCUAAUAUGUUGAUAGAAAAGCUUAACAUGUGAUGGGGAUCAAGUAGGAUAAGCGCAACUUUGUACAAGUGAGUAGGAACCAAACACUAUAUGGCAAAA